rnacentral:rRNA from 1 species
UUUCGGGGAGCCGUGAGACAGGUGCUGCAUGGCUGUCGUCAGCUCGUGUCGUGAGAUGUUGGGUUAAGUCCCGCAACGAGCGCAACCCUUGUCUUUAAUUGCCAUCAUUCAGUUGGGCACUCUAGCGAGACUGCCGGUAAUAAACCGGAGGAAGUGGGAUGACGUCAAAUCAUCAUGCCCCUUAUGACCUGGGCUACACACGUGCUACAAUGGUUGGUACAACGAGUUGCGAGUCGGUGACGGCGAGCUAAUCUCUUAAAGCCAAUCUCAGUUCGGAUUGUAGGCUGCAACUCGCCUACAUGAAGUCGGAAUCGCUAGUAAUCGCGGAUCAGCACGCCGCGGUGAAUACGUUCCCGGGCCUU